UCUGCCCUCCUCGGCCUCGCAAAGUGCUGGGAUUACAGGCGUGAGCCACCACGCUCGGCCAACAGUCUUUCAAAGUAACUGACCUUGGGAAGGUCUUAUGGUGACAUUCUGUCCUUGAAUAAAGAAUCUUACUAUGAGUUCCUCAAAUUAUUGAUGCAAUGAUUGAUACAUAACCUACUGGCAUUGAAAAGGAUGCUGAUUUAUUGCUGAAUCAUGAAGUUUUACUGAUGGUCUUGCAUGUAGACAUUUUAACCUGUAUGUUGUAAUGUGUAUUCAAUGAUUGCAAUCUUUGUAUUGAACCCUCCAAUGAAAAAGGACAAGUUUGGUAUAAGGAGUCCCCCUCCCUGCUCCUAAACUUUUCUAUAAAAGCCUUCCAAUUUGUAACAGACUCCAGAACAUGUGUAACUUUGUUGGUGUGUUUUCCCAAGUCAGUCCUUACAUUUGGCUUCCAAUAAACCUUUAUCAAAUUAUUUCUGCUGGCUGGGCACAGUGGCCCAUGCCUGUAAUCCCAGCACUUUGGGAGGCUGGGGCAGGAAGAUUGCUUGAGCCCACGGGUUUGAGAUCCGCCUGGACGACAUAGUGAGACCCCAUCUCUAUUAAAAAUAAAAAAUAAAAUAAAUAAAAUAACUUCUGUCUCAACAGCCUUCAUUUCAGUCAACAACCACAUAACAGAUCAUCAAAAUACAUAAAGCAAAAACUGACAGAACUAAAGUUAAAUAUACAUAUCUACAAUUAUGUAGAGAAUAACAAACAAAAAAAUAGAACAAAAAUGUUCCACGCCUUGGUCAAUGGUACCACCAGCCAGCGAGGUUCCCAAGCCAAGAACUUCGGAAGCAUCCGUGAUUCUUCAUCUUCCACAUCCACUUUAUCACCGGAAGCACGCAUUCAACUUUCUAAACAUCCCUCAGACUGACCCACAUCUUUCUAUCCACUUUUCACAUCUUGCUUGAAUGACUUCCCCAGGCCCAGCCAGUCUCCCGCCUCCAGCUCCGCCCCCUUCUGACUCCCUUUAUGUGGUACAAUCAGAGAGCCCUUCCCAAAGCACAAAUCUGCUUUCACUGCUUUGCUUCAAGCCCUUUCGUGGCUCCUAUUUCCAGCUGGAUGAGGUCCAAGCCUCUUAACGUGCUGUACGUGUACAUGCCUGACCCCCGCUACUUGACCAGCCAAGUUUCUUCAUAGCGCUGUGUCUUUGUUCCUCCUGCCUAGAAUGUCCUUCCCCUUUUCUCUCGCUUCAUGGUGUGCCAAACUCCUAUCCUGUGAGAUCCAGCUUACACGUCAGCUUCCCCGUGAUGCUUUUCCUAACUCCCUAUUCAGCCAGUGAAGUGCUCCCUGCGUUCCCAUGUGGCUUGUAUCUCUGUAAAAGCUCCACAGAGCUGUUUUAAUUUAUCCGUUAAUGUACAUGUCUUCCCCACUAGACUUUUGCUCCUUAAAGUAUCUCCUUCAUCUCUGCUUUGCAUAACCUAACAGAGUUCAACACAUAGGAGUGUCUUAAUAAAUGCUGAAUAAAAU
rnacentral:lncRNA from 10 species